rnacentral:rRNA from 1 species
UACGUAGGGUCCGAGCGUUGUCCGGAAUCAUUGGGCGUAAAGAGCGUGUAGGCGGCCACUUAAGUCCUGCGUGAAAUCUUGCGGCUCAACCGCAAGCGGUCGUGGGAAACUGGGUGGCUAGAGUGCGGGAGAGGAGAGUGGAAUUCCUGGUGUAGCGGUGAAAUGUGCAGAUAUCAGGAGGAACACCAAUGGCGAAGGCAGCUCGCUGGGACGGUACUGACGCUGAGACGCGAAAGCGUGGGGAGCAAACAGG